CACGUAGGGCGCGAGCGUUGUCCGGAAUUAUUGGGCGUAAAGAGCUCGUAGGCGGCCUGUUGCGUCCGCUGUGAAAGCCCGGGGCUUAACCCCGGUCGGCAGUGGAUACGGGCAGGCUAGAGGUAGGUAGGGGGAGAAUGGAAUUCCCGGUGUAGCGGUGAAAAUGCGCAGAUAUCGGGAGGAACACCGGUGGCGAAGGCGGUCUCUGGGCCUUACCUGACGCUGAG
rnacentral:rRNA from 1 species